rnacentral:sRNA from 12 species
GGGGCUGGUCGAAAGACCCGGGUCCAUCUGCUGGCGGGUAAGACACCC